AAUUAUUGUUAGAUCUUCUUGGCAUGCAUGUGCAGUCUUUCCGCUAUUUCCUUUCUUGCUUGCCCGUAGUGCUAGAUCCCCCAUUAACGUAAGUAUUUUAGCUGUUAGCCUACAAAAUUGAAAGAUUAACUUGACAAAAAUGAUUGAGUGUUGAAUACAGAAGGGACGACAAGUCAAUAUAAAGAUGGAAGAUGCAGUGAAACU